UACGUAGGGUGCAAGCGUUAAUCGGAAUUACUGGGCGUAAAGCGUGCGCAGGCGGUUCGUUGUGUCGGCGGUGAAAGCCCCGGGCUUAACCUGGGAAUGGCCGUUGAAACUGGCGAACUGGAGUGUGGCAGAGGGGGGUGGAAUUCCGCGUGUAGCAGUGAAAUGCGUAGAUAUGCGGAGGAACACCGAUGGCGAAGGCAAUCCCCUGGGCCUGCACUGACGCUCAUGCACGAAGCGUGGGAGCAAACAGG
rnacentral:rRNA from 1 species